ACAGAGCCCAACAUGGGGCUUGAACCCACAAACUGUGAGAUCAUGACCUGAACUGGAGUUAGAUGCUUAACCAGCUGAGCCACCCAGGUGCCCUGGAACCACCUAGAGUUUUAAAACUGCUGUUCAGUCUUUUGGGUUUAAAGUCUAGAAUUUUUCCAAAGGGAAUUAGACUGUCCUCACUUCAGAUGGACUUCCCAGGUUUGGAUUCUGGUGUCAUUCAUUCUGGAGUAUAAAAAUGCUCCAAAGCGCCCCAGUAGGGGGAAGCUUUGAUUUACUUUAAGUCCAGCUGUCUUAGUGUGGAAGCAUACAUGAGGAGAAGGGGCCGUGGGAAGUGUUUGUGCUCUAUGGGAGGUUUAAUUUCCAUCUCAAGGGCUCCUCAGUGAUGAGAGCAUUGUUCCAGCAGUUAAGGAGGGUGUGGGUCUCUCGAUCAGGUAAAGGGGUAGGUCCCUGGGGAACACCACCUUCUAACUCCCAACUCUUUGACCUUACUCUUCUGGAAAUUUCUUAGUGUCCUUUGGAAAUAGAGAUAAGCUGGGACUGCUGGAAAUGAGGAAAUAAGUGCCCUGACAGGGCUGUUUCCAUCCACCUUCUACAAGAAGAAUGGCUUAGUUAAGAUGUCAGAAGGAAUGCUUUUGUUGUAAAAAAAAACAAAAAAACAAAAAAAACCCCCAAACAAACAAAAACAAAAAAGAGAAAACAAAACAAAACAAAAACCAAAAAACAAACCAGAAGGCCCUUCUAGAGAUUGGUUUUGAUGAGCUAAGGGCUGAUAACAGAUAUGGAAUGGGGUACAUUUUAGGAGGACAAAAACAUAACUUCUACUUUUGAACAAAAAUCGCUACGGCUUGUUAGUGUGAAGAUGGUAAAUCAAGAAAGUAGGAGUUUAAAGAUUUUAUUUGAAGUUAGGUUUCUGGCAUCAUUCAUGUUUAUAUUUACGAUGCUUUUAUAGCACUCCAGGCUCUUGAAGAGAAUUAGAAAGCUGCGGGAAAGUUGAAGAGAAAAAAGUAGUCUGCAUUUUUAUUGUCCAAGGACAAUCAUUGUUAAUAUUUUGGCAUUUUGGUGUAUUUCCUCAUCUUUUUUUCUUCUCCCAAUAGAGUUGUAAAUAGAGGUCUUGUAGCAUGCACAGUUCAUCUGGUAGCUCGAAUGGAAUAUAAAUGUCACUUGUGUAUUUUCCGCGAAGAGCAGCUUUUGGAAUACACUUGAGUUAGCUCUGCACUUGAGAGCUUGUCACUGGAUUCUGACUUACUGCUGAGUCUUUUUACAUUGAGCCGGACAUGAAUAGGUCCUGAGAAAUAAUGAACCAAAGUCUACUUUUUGUUAGGCCUCUGCACUUGGGUUGACGAACGACAGAAAAUAGCUAUUUGAUAGAUGGCUCUGCAGGUUGUGAGGUUGUCAGAUUUUAAAAAAGUGAAUAGCUUAUUGAUGUGCAAUCAAGAAUCUUUCUUUGUUUGUUUUUUUCCCCCUGAUAACGCAGGGAAGUGGAAAGUUGACAUUCGGGAAUUAGGUCAUGGCUGUUACUCACCGUGGCAGUCAGAUACUUGUUCUGCUUAGAUAGAAUUUGCCUGAUGGAACUGGAUCUAGGAUAUUAAACAUUAGUAUCCUAGUUAUCAAGCAAUCACUUAAGUCAGCGAUUCUUAUUUUAUUAGUGUUUGGUUGAAUGCAGACUUUUAAGAAAGCUUUUCUCCUUUAUGAUGAUUAGGAUUAUACUAUUAGCAUGUCAGUGAAUAUAUUUAAGGUGUGUGGGAGAGGAGAUACCUGAAUCUGUUCGGUAACAGGCUACUUUUGGGGGAAAUCUGCCUGUCCCUCUGAUUAGUGCCUACUACGUUCAUUAUGGAUCAGAGAUGUUCUGUUGGGGGACCUAAGCUCAAUGGUCAUCAAGCACAGACUUUCUAAAAAUACCGUAACUUGUUCUAUUUAUUGGCUUUCUCAGGUGUGUAAAAGUUACUCACCAGUUCCUCAUGCUUACGUGAGCCAGGGCCAUGUUGGGGGCUCUGAGAGUGGGGUAGAGUCUUCCUUGGCUCUUUAUCCCAUGGGGCUGGCAUGAGACCAUCUCUGAGGGACAGGUGAGGGCUGAAGCUUGCCCAACUGGAGCCCCUCUCAUAGCUCCUUUCCCCCAGAUGAGCUUGGAACCUUUCAUUGCCAGCUCUUGGCCGGGGUGCUCCCAUUCCAGCUGGCCAAAGAGAAUGCUCAGGCCAGGUUGGGGUGCUUAAUGGAUUUUACAUACUCCUACAGGCAAAAAAAAAAAAAAAAAAAAAAAAAAGCCUCUAAAGGACUGAUUGUUUAAAUUGUUUCUUUCUGUGUAUGUUAAAUCAGGUUUAAGACUAUUUUAUAAUCACAGUAUGUAAUCAGAGCAUAUAUAGUAUUUUUAGACCUAUUCCUUGUUUUAUACUUUAGAUAGGUUGUGCCGUCUUAGGGUGGUGUGCCCAGUGGCUGUGGGAGCAGUUAAUGUCCAUUGUUUGGGAGCGUUUUAAGGCCUUUUGAAAUGGAGCUUUUGCACUUUAUACUAUUUUUGGGAACUAUGAGUUAUAUUUCAAUAUUAAAGCCAUAAGUGGCGUUUUCUGUGAAUGAAAA